rnacentral:misc_RNA from 1 species
AGCGGACACCAUGAAAGACAGAAACCACUACCGGAGGGCAAGUGACCCUGAAAUCAAGAGUCAUUGGUGAAAUAGUGGCGAUGGGGGCUGUUGUUAGCAAUGCAGACUACCAGCGCUUGACUUUCGGUAACUGUUCUGGUCUACUAAGGGUAGGGAGCUGGCUCGGAACGUUCCUGGGUGCCACAGGAAAACGACACCGCCACUUGGGACGCUGGCUGGUUGCUCACCAGAGCUUGUGAGCACUUGCUUGAGUUCGACAUUCAGGGCUCAUGUUUUCUGUAGAAUGCACGUUUGCGCACUGUCUUGUUAAGUAGGGAUGGAGCGUUCAGGGUUCUUGGUACUGGAAGCGCUGAACGUACGACACAGCCGAGCCAAGUGCCAGGGGAGCGGGAAGUGACUGGAGCGACGGUGUGAUUAAUUGACGACAACGAGGUCACUCACCGUAGUGUGCAGCUGGUAACGAGUAUUCAGAGACGCUCGCGUGCAGCGUCCCGGGAAUAAAACCAGGGGCAACUGAGACGCCCCGCAACGUUUCCGGGAAGCCACACAGUUUCCAUCGAGCCGGUUGGAUCGCUUCAAAAGGAAGCCUUUCCCAGUAUUUGACCUUGGUGGUUACUUUGUCUUCCACUGGGGCUUGCCCCUCGUUGCGAGUAGCGUGCAUCACGCGAGACCUUCAACAGCGUAUGUCACGGGAUGCCCCGCCAGUUCUCGAUCAGGAACAAAAGAGUACGGGACUUGCUGUUCUGGGCGUGCGGCAGUCGCCCCUAGUACGCAUUCGUGAAACGUUUGUGGGCGCUUCUGGGCGUACGCUCUUGAAAGAGUUGCUGGCUCGAGUACAGUUUCAUGCGCGCUGGCAGUUGCUAUCGUUACAGGCAAACGGAGGUUCCGCGCGGACCACGCAAGGAUGCUUAGGCCGCAGACAUCGGACUGGAGUCGGCUCUCAGCACAGAGCAGCUCCAUCAAUAAAGAGCGCGGAAUGAACCGUAGGGAAAUACCGCAGGCUCGUUCGUCGCUGGUAUUUUCGGAAUACGUCGUGCCGAUUCUUCGCAUAGGCACACUCACACGAGAAUGAAACCGAACAGGUCUACGGACUCGGGCGUACACACGCCAAAGCCUGGCUCUCUUCCCAGUGGUACGAAUAACAACCCGUGCGGGCUUUUUCGGCGACUGCUUCUUUCUUGCUUUACUCUGUCUCGACCGCUCUGUUGUCAACAGUCGAGGGAUACUCAUGGCUGCGUUCAAGUCCCUGGGACGAUGUUUCUGGCUGUUGUCGACACAUUUCACGCACGAUGUAAGUCGGGCGCUGCGCUUUGCUUGCCAUAUAUUCACCUUGUUUAUGUGCAGCCUUGAUGCGCUCUUUGUAACAGUGACAAUUGAGUGCGAUCAGGUGUUCUUGUCUAUCCAUAACACGUCGUGCUGCGAGUUCCGCGCUGUGGCUCGUGAACACCGGCUUCAUCGCUCGGUUCGUGCACUUGCGCGGUACAUGAGGCAUAUUCCGAUGCACUCCUCCGUUUCCAAACCGGCUGCAGUACGCUACGAUCACAUAGUUCUGCUGGAUGAUCGCCUCGAUUACUUCGCUGUCCGCAGCACGCGCAAAUGCAAACUGUUCCAUUCGAUGAAGGAUUUGUGAAACGUGACGUUCAUGAUCAUGAAAAAAAGUACCGGAAGGAAAAUCCAGGUUAGGGAGAAAUUCGGGUAAUCUAGAUCCAUUUGCGCUCUUUUCAUGCAAACCAGUGACACAGUCCGUACUGGACGCGAUUGCUGCGAUGACUCUAGUCCGAAUCCAAGACGCUUUUCAUGCAGACGUAAGCAGUGCGGGCCUCUGGGAACAGAUCCCGAUGACAGGUAUUGUUUUGCUGUUGAAUGCGGUUUCGUCGAUGGUCACGAAGCGAUGGGGAUUCUUCUUUAGCACGGAAUCGACGAUUUGUAGUGACAAUCUCAGUGGACUUUCAGUGUGAUCUUAUGACUAAUUCCUCAACAAACGCCAUCGAGCACUUUUCGCUGUCAAUGCAACCGCGUCAAUAAAUGCACCAACGAAUCACCA